rnacentral:rRNA from 1 species
UACAGAGGGUGCGAGCGUUAAUCGGAAUUACUGGGCGUAAAGCGCACGUAGGCGGCCGAUCAAGUCGGAGGUGAAAUCCCUCGGCUCAACUGAGGAAUUGCCUCCGAUACUGUUCGGCUUGAGUCCUGGAGAGGGUAGUGGAAUUCCCAGUGUAGCGGUGAAAUGCGUAGAGACUGGGAAGAACACCAGUGGCGAAGGCGGCUACCUGGACAGGUACUGACGCUGAAGCGCGAAAGCUAGGGGAGCAAACAGG